GAUGAACGCUGGCGGCGUGCCUAAUACAUGCAAGUCGAGCGAACAGAUAAGGAGCUUGCUCCUUUGACGUUAGCGGCGGACGGGUGAGUAACGCGUGGGUAACCUACCUAUAAGACUGGAAUAACUCCGGGAAACCGGGGCUAGUGCCGGAUAACAUUUAGAACCGCAUGGUUCUAAAGUGAAAGAUGGUUUUGCUAUCACUUAUAGAUGGACCCGCGCCGUAUUAGCUAGUUGGUAAGGUAACGGCUUACCAAGGCAACGAUACGUAGCCGACCUGAGAGGGUGAUCGGCCACACUGGAACUGAGACACGGUCCAGACUCCUACGGGAGGCAGCAGUAGGGAAUCUUCCGCAAUGGGCGAAAGCCUGACGGAGCAACGCCGCGUGAGUGAUGAAGGUCUUCGGAUCGUAAAACUCUGUUAUUAGGGAAGAACAAAUGUGUAAGUAACUGUGCACGUCUUGACGGUACCUAAUCAGAAAGCCACGGCUAACUACGUG
rnacentral:rRNA from 1 species